UGCGCGUGUCUGCGCGCCGGGCCGCUCGGCGCGCUCGGCAAUCGAUUACAGGACAAGUGCUGCCCCGGCGGCUCCGCGACGCGCGCACUCCCUCGCGCCCACCCGCGCGCCGGGCCGCGACGCCCCCAGCCCUGCGGCCCCCGGACGGCGGACCCCGCCCCCGAAGGGGGGACCAGGUGGUGGUGUUCUCUUUGAAGCGGUGUUCUCUUUUUAAGUGGGAUAUGGAACAAUGGUCUCACAUUCUCCUGUCGACCUAGAUUGGCACUACGAGGAAGCAAGGAAGCUAGAAUUGGAACCAUAGUUUCAAAGAAAACAUUCUAAGAUACCAAAUCCAGUUCCUAAGAAAUUUGGAGAGACAGAAAGAGCUCAGAGGCAGCUGCUAUCUCGGUGCACUUGGAUCAGAAUGGCAGUGAUGAGAUACGUGAUCAUAGACCUGGAUAUGAAGCAAGUGUCAAGUUUUACUGAUGACAAACACAUAAAAUUGUGAAUCUGAAGAUAGAUCAGGAAUGAGAAGAUGAGCCCAGUGAGAUUCAGGACCUUUGUAAAAUUGCUCAACCAUCCCUUUGGGAGACUGGAGUCCUCUGCAGGCUUUUCUGCAUCUACCUGGAAGACAAGGGAAGGAAGAGAGAAGAGGAUCAUGGGGGAAGUUUCCAUUGGCCAGGCACGGAACUGCUGUACAUCCCUUCUGCCCACACUCUACCACAUGACAGACUCAUUCAAACAGCAUACCUAACUAGGCUCUGUGAAGACCCGUGGGAUCACGAAGCAUGCGCAUGAGCGGAGCAGGUCCCAAAGCUAUCAACUCUUCAACCAUGGGAGGCCCUUGAUCCCUGAACUUUCUACUCGUGCCAAUUUCUGCUUGAAAAUCCACCCACACUCACCUGCGUGCAUGUCUCCCUUACUUAAGUAGCAGCCAACACACGAUCUCACUGACAGUUCCAACUACUUCCCCUAGAGCUAUAGGCUCAGUAGAUAUGUGAUCUGCCUUCCAGGUCCUCCCAUGACAGCUUCACUGAGAAUUUGCUGAGGUUCAGCAGAAAUCUCCAGACAUUCAGCCUGCUCUAUUGUAUUGUCACCUGCUGCUGGCCAGUCACUAACCAGCGCUUCUUAUUCCUGGGUUUUGUUACAACAGCAGUACAUGUCAAAGUACCAAUUUCUGUACUUGUCAAGUUAGGAGAGCUGCUGUAACUAAAAUCUCAGUGCCUUAAUAUACUAAGGCUUAUUUUUAUUCACAUUACACAUUAAUGUGGGUGUAUGAUAAGUGACAUACUACUCAGUGAUUAAGGGAACCAACCAGGUUCGUUCCAUCUUAAUUUUUUUUAUUUUGUAUUACCUUUUUAUUUUGAAACUUACAUUUUUGAAAAUCUUGGUUUAAAAUCUUUUGUUGAAGUAAUUAAAAUGUCUGUUGAGAAGUUCAGUUUAUUUUAAUACUUGCAUUUAGUAGCUGUCACAGCUGAAAAAGACCCCUCAUAAUCAGAGGUAGAACCAAAUGAAAGAAAUAUUUAUUUGUUUGCACCAAAGAAAAUCAUGAUACUCAGUUUUCAAUCCUGUUCACAAAUUUUCACAAUGACUUAGUUGAAAUUUUACUUGUGCAAUUAAAUUUCCUUGAUGUCAUUUAGUAGUUCUUUCAAAGUAAUCAAAAGAUUGACUAGUUCAUGUUUAACAAAGGCACUUCAAAUUCCCUGAAAUAUUUUUAAGCAUGUCAGAAAAUUCUGUUUUAAUAUUUUCUAGAUAUCAGCAUAUGAGAUGUGUUUUUAAAGAUGACAGGUUUACUUAUACUGUUUUAGUUACCAAAAAAAAAAUCAUAGUAAAAAUCAUUCCUAAAAUUCCUUUUCAAAAUGUGGCCUCCAUAGCAUGAGAUUCUUUUUAAAAGCAAUUACUAUUUAACUCGCUGUUAAAGCAUUAUCUCUACCAUGAUGGGAUUGAUUACUUAUAUUUUUGGAGGUGUCUGUUAGGCAACAUAGCCACUGGUUGUCCCAUAAAUUGGAACCAACCAGAAGCUGACAGUCGAGGGAGCUCUUGGGUGGAGUGUAGACCAUUGAGGUCAGUCACCCAGGGCACAGAGGAGAGUAAAAGGGGUGAAAAAUGGAUUGGAAGGAGUCAAUGAAAGAUAUUUGACACAGCUAUAAAAUCACUCAUACACAUGCCUGCUGUAAGAGACAAAGUGAAUGAACGAGAGUGCCAUUGUCAAGCCCUCUGGUUGUGGAACCCUACACGUCCCUCAGAAAACUUAUUAUCAUAUGUGAUGAAAGACUGUUGGAGCCUCUAGUGGGGCAUCUUCUCUAAACAAACAGAAAUAAAAUGACAUGUGACAGAUGAAGACAAAUUACUUUUUAUUACAAAAGUCUAGGUUGGAAGAUGUAGCUUAAUGUGAGAGCAAAAUGGACCUGCUAAUGGAACCCCAGAAUUAGCAGAUUUACCCAGCCUAGGCAUUGCUGAACUGGGACAGGCCAGAGAUUUUUCUGCUGAUGCCUUAGGGUGCAUAUACUAUACCACUUGUGACACCAGUGGGCUAAAAAGUACACUAUUGGACCACUAUUAGACAAUUGGACCUAGCUAGCACGGUAAUCCUAGCUUCGUGCCUGGUGAGCGUCCUGGCCAAAAGCAGGAAGAAUUUCCUUCCUCGUGCCUAGUUUUCCUCUAAACUAUGUUGACUGUCAUCCAGGUAAACCAGAAUCAGGUUUAACUCAGUCCCACUCCCAGCCAAGCUUCAGGCCCGUCUUCCCCUGAACAUGCUCUCUGGGUCUUUGUGGAUGGAUAGCUUAGCAUCUACCUGUCCCCACUGCUCAGCUCUAAGCUGAGUGCUAUUGAUAGUAUGCCUACCUUAUGAUUAUAUAUGAAGGCCAACAUGUUAUAUCAGUGCACUUAAGUCUUUUCUUUAUCUGGUAUAAACGUUAGAAUGACAUUUUUUAUCUGCUUAACUCUCAGCAAAUCAAGUGAGAGGUUUUAAAAAGAAAUAGAAGAAACAACUUAUAAUGCAGUUUAUACAAUGAAUAGGAUUUUAUGUUCCUACUCAAUGGCUUCAUGGUGAAAGGAAGGUUCUAAAAUUCUGAAACUAACAGGAAAAGUCAGUGUUUCUUGGGAGGGAAGGGAUAGAGGCAGAAAAGAAAGAAGGAAAUGCAAAAAGGUUAGAAAGUGUUAUAUCUGGAUGUUCUAAACAUCAAAGGAAGAAAAAUGGAAUAAUAAUGGUGAGUUAAGGAUCUGAAGACCCAUGAAUCAAUUUCUCUUUUCCCCAUUGAGUGAUAUGAAAAGGGAAAGGAAAGGUGUAAUCUUGACUAGAGACUAAAUACAUGCUGUGGUAUUUUCUGAAGAAAAAAAAGUCUCGCUUAAGGGGAAUCGAUAAUGAAAUAAGAUUAGAAAAUGAUAACUGCACUUUAUUUAAUAUUUUUGGUGACAAUUAUAAAUAUGGAACUGUGCAAGGAGAGUUUAGAUAAGUGAAGCCGAGUUUUAUAAUACACAGUAGAAAAAACAGGCUCACUAUGGGAAAUGGAAACAGCAAGGACAGAAUCAACUUUGAGAGUUCGAUGAAGCAUGUGAAUCAAGGCCUAAGCCUACUUAAUACAUGGAAUUUCCCUGGUCAGAGAGAUUGUCCAAGGGUCAGUAGAGGAACCUAGGUGGUUCGGUUAUUAGGAAGUCCAAGACUUUAGUUGGUGUUUGGGGUAAAAAAAUGUAAUCAAUCCAUCAUUCUCUGACUCUCUUUUCCUCUCACUCCCAUCCUCUUAUUGUGGUUAUUGAUAACUAUUUGGCAACCACCAGGUUAACUAGCUUUGGAAUAAAUUUGCCACACUCCAAAGAAAACUGAAGAGGGAAACAAGACUGCUCCCUGGGAUAGAUCCACAGAGCGGCUGGAUCAAGUCUUACCUGCAACUUCCACCACUAGUAAAAUUUUGAGUUUGUGAGUCAGUAAAAUUACCCUUAUAGUCAAGGCUAGUUAAGUAUCAUAACUGAGACACCUUUCUGAAUUACAUUUGUACUCAUCUACUAAAAUAUUUUAUUUUCCCCAUUUAUUUGAAUCUCAGCUCAUGUUGUCUCACACUGAAUGUAUUUGCCUACGUUUCUUAUCUUUCCGCACAGAUUUUGCACUCCUUGAGGGCAAGGACUUCAGUUUACAUAUUAAAUAUUUCUUCUAGCUUUCAGCAUACUGCUUUG